rnacentral:rRNA from 1 species
GAUGAACGCUGGCGGCGUGCCUAAUACAUGCAAGUCGAGCGAACAGACGAGGAGCUUGCUCCUCUGACGUUAGCGGCGGACGGGUGAGUAACACGUGGAUAACCUACCUAUAAGACUGGGAUAACUUCGGGAAACCGGAGCUAAUCCCGGAUAAUAUAUUGAACCGCAUGGUUCAAUAGUGAAAGACGGUUUUGCUGUCACUUAUAGCUGCAUCCGGGCGGCAUUAGCUGGUUGCUAAGGUAACGGCUUACCAAGGCAACGAGGCGUAGCCGACGUGCGUGGGGGAUCGCCCACACGGGAACUGAGACACGGACCAGGCUCCUACGGGAGGCAGCAGUAGGGAAUCGUCCGCAAUGGGCGAAAGCCUGACGGAGCAACGCCGCGUGAGUGAUGAAGGUCUUCGGAUCGUAAAACUCUGUUAUGAGGGAAGAACAAAUGUGUAAGUAACUAUGCACGGCGUGACGGUACCUAAUCAGAAAGCCACGGCUAACUACGUG